rnacentral:sRNA from 2 species
UGUGCGGAUUGCCUAACUCUGCCACCGCUCAAGGUCCGUUCGCAUUUCAUCGUCUGGCAGGGGCGGGGGAACCAAUUUUGGUCUUGGCUUUAGCGAAGACCUUGGGGUUAAGUCACAAAAGCUUCCUUGGAAGUUGCGUGGCCGGGUGACUCCCAUCCGAAUCCGACAGCUCACCUCGCAGGCAUUGGGAGAGGCUAC